AUGAUUAAUAUUAAAUGGCCGCAGUAUAUUGACUGUGCAAAGGUAGCAUAAUCAUUAGUUUUUUAAUUGAAAGCUUGUAUGAAAGGUUUGAUGAAAAAAUAACUGUCUCUAUUUAAAUUUUUUAGAAAUUUAUUUUUAAGUUAAAAAGCUUAAAUAUUUAUAGAAGACGAGAAGACCCUAUAGAGUUUUAUAUUUAUGAGUAAUAAAUUAAAUUUAGAAUCUUUUUAAUUAUUUUUUAUAACUAUUUAAUUGGGGUGAUUAAAAAAUUUAAAGAACUUUUUUUUUAAUUAAACAUUUAUUUAUGAAUUUUUGAUCCUUAUUUAGAGAUUAUAAGAUUAAAUUACCUUAGGGAUAACAGCGUAAUUUUUUUUAAAAGUUCAAAUUAAAAAAAAAGAUUGCGACCUCGAUGUGGCAUUAAAAUAAAUUA
rnacentral:rRNA from 1 species